CUAAUACCGCAUAAGCCCACGACCCGGCAUCGGGUAGAGGGAAAAGGAGCAAUCCGCUUUGAGAUGGCCUCGCGUCCGAUUAGCUAGUUGGUGAGGUAAUGGCCCACCAAGGCGACGAUCGGUAGCCGGACUGAGAGGUUGAACGGCCACAUUGGGACUGAGACACGGCCCAGACUCCUACGGGAGGCAGCAGUGGGGAAUAUUGCACAAUGGGGGAAACCCUGAUGCAGCGACGCCGCGUGGAGGAAGAAGGUCUUCGGAUUGUAAACUCCUGUUGUUGAGGAAGAUAAUGACGGUACUCAACAAGGAAGUGACGGCUAACUACGUGCCAGCAGCCGCGGUAAAACGUAGGUCACAAGCGUUGUCCGGAAUUACUGGGUGUAAAGGGAGCGCAGGCGGGAAGGCAAGUUGGAAGUGAAAUCCAUGGGCUCAACCCAUGAACUGCUUUCAAAACUGUUUUUCUUGAGUAGUGCAGAGGUAGGCGGAAUUCCCGGUGUAGCGGUGGAAUGCGUAGAUAUCGGGAGGAACACCAGUGGCGAAGGCGGCCUACUGGGCACCAACUGACGCUGAGGCUCGAAAGUGUGGGUAGCAAACAGGAUUAGAUACCCUGGUAGUCCACACUGUAAAC
rnacentral:rRNA from 1 species